rnacentral:rRNA from 1 species
UCCGUAGGUGAACCUGCGGAAGGAUCAUUAAUGAUUGAACGUCUGUCGAGCUUGCUCACAGACACAUCAUAUCCAUAACACCUGUGCACUUGUCGGAUGGCUUAGUGAAGACCGCAAGGUUGGAUCUAUCCAUCUACUUUACAUAACAAUUCUGUAACAAAUGUAGUCUUAUUAUAACAUAAUAAAACUUUCAACAACGGAUCUCUUGGCUCUCGCAUCGAUGAAGAACGCAGCGAAAUGCGAUAAGUAAUGUGAAUUGCAGAAUUCAGUGAAUCAUCGAAUCUUUGAACGCACCUUGCGCUCCUUGGUAUUCCGAGGAGCAUGCCUGUUUGAGUGUCUUGAAGUCAUCAACCCCUCCGGUUUUUCGAAACGGGGGACGGUUGGAUAUGGGGGCUUGCUGCCGCAAGGCUGCUCCCCUAAAAUGCGUCGGUUGGACCUGUGGGUCGAACUCGUUGGGCGUUGUAUCAUCCUCGCUCUGACAGAGAUGUUCCCCUUUGGUUGUCCAUCCCCGACUCGGCCUAUGGGGAGGUGGGGCAGGUCAACUCCUUUGGAAUCUGACCUCAAAUCAGGGUAGGGACUACCCGGCUGGAACUUAAGGCAUAUCAAUAAGGGCGG